rnacentral:tRNA from 1 species
UGGUGUAAACAGUUAACAUGCUGAGCUGCUAACCCAAAGGCUGGUGGUUUGAAUCCACC